GAUGAACGCUUGCGGCAGGCUUAAUACAUGCAAGUCGAACGGUAACAGGGUCUUCGGACUGCUGACGAGUGGCGGAUGGGUGAGUAACGCGUAUGCAACCUUCCUCACACCGAGAAAAAGUCGACUGAAAAGUUGAAUAAAGUCUCGUGGUGUGCAUUUCUCGCAUGAGAGAUGUAUGAUAGAAGCAAUUUGGUGUGAGAUGGGCAUGCGUAUCCUUAGCUAGUUGGUAAGGUAACGGCUUACCAAGGCGACGAUGAUUAGGGGGCCUGAGAGGGUGGUCCCCCACACUGGGACUGAGACACGGCCCAGACUCCUACGGGAGGCAGCAGUAGGGAAUAUUGGUCAAUGGGCGGAAGCCUGAACCAGCCAUGCCGCGUGAUGGAUGACGGCCUUAGGGUUGUAAACAUCUUUUCUGCUAGAGGAAUAGAGUUCACGCGUGGACAGACGACUGUAUAGCAGGAAUAAGGAUCGGCUAACUCCGUG
rnacentral:rRNA from 1 species